GACCGCUUCGGCGGCCGGAUGCGCUACAUGGUCUCCGGCGCCGCGAAGCUGUCCGCCGACAUCAGCGAAUGGUUCGACGCCAUCGGCCUUCCC
rnacentral:tRNA from 1 species